rnacentral:rRNA from 1 species
AAUUAUUAUUAGAUUUUUAAAUAAUCAUUCACGAAAUAAAUUGAGCUAAAUUUUUGGUAUUUUUGGAAAUUAUAACUAUAUGUUACAAAAUAUAUUAACUAAAUAGAUUUAGGGGUGAAAGGCCUAUCAAAUUUUAUGAUAUCUUGAAGUAUAUAAAAUAUAUCAAGUAUUUCUAAUUCAACUAUUGAAUGUUUAGGUUCAAUAGUAACAUUAUAUUUUUUAAAAAAUUGUUCAAUUUUUUUAAGUAAAAUUGAGUUAGAGCAUAAAAUAUACAUCAAAUUUUUAUUAUAUGAAUAUAAAUAUACUACGGUUAUUAAUAAAUAUAAUCAUAUAUAAUGUAAUUAUUAGUAAUAGUUUAUUAAACUAUAUAAAGGAAUUCGGCAAGAAAAUUUUUCACCUGUUUAUCAAAAACAUAGCUUAUUGAAUAUCAUAAUAAGUAACCCCUGCUCAAUGGAAAUCUAAAUAGCCGCAGUACCUUGACUGUGCAAAGGUAGCAUAAUCAAUUGGCUUAUAAUUGAAGUCUGGAAUGAAUGGGUAAUCUGGAAAAUAACUGUCUUUAUUUGUAGUAUUUUGAAUUUACUUAUAAAGUGAAAAUACUUUAAUAUAAAUAUAAGACGAGAAGACCCUAGAAAUUUUUUGUUAAUAACUUUUGUUGGGGCGACAGGGUAACAUAUAAACUUACUUACAUUUAUAUAAAUCUUAUAAGGUACGUAACUAAAUUACUCUAGGGAUAACAGCAUAAUAUAUAAAAGUUUAUGACCUCGAUGUUGGACUAGGUAAUUAAAUAUUUAAAAGAUAUCUUAAUUUGCUCUGUUCGAGCAGUAUCACCUACAU